rnacentral:rRNA from 1 species
UACGAAAGGUGCAAGCGUUACUCGGAAUCACUGGGCGUAAAGCGCACGUAGGCGGACUCGCAGGUCAAUUGUGAAAUACCUGGGCUCAACCCGGGAACUGCAGUUGAAACCGCUUGUCUUGAAUACCUGAGAGGGUGGGGGAAUACCUGGUGGAGAAGUGAAAUUCGUAGAGAUCAGGUGGAACACCGGAGGCGAAGGCGCCUGCCUGGCAAGUGUAUUGACGCUGAGGUGCGAAAGUGCGGGGAGCAAACAGG